AAAGAGGGUUAUGAAUGCUUCAGAUGGUUCAUGAUAAACCAAGACUAAAUCUAUAGACGUCAGAUGCACAGGUUAUAAAGACAACUGUAUAUGAAGAAGAUUUUAUAUGAUGUGGUUUGUUGUCAUUUGUGUUUUGGGGGGGGGGAGAAGAGAAUCUCCAUGGUGAUAGUAGGUGGGCGGGUGCAAGAAAAAUAUUUAUAACCGCUGUAUUGUGGGAAAUGCAGUUUAUCGAUGAAAAAAUGUUUUGGUUACUUAACAUGGCAUUAGUGGGUUUUUACUUGCAAUAUUUCUUUUUACAAAGUUCAACAGUUUUUGUUUUUGUUGCCUGCUUUUGCUUGUCUCAUCGCAAAACAAGAAAUGAAACAAAAAAUAACCAAAUAAGUCGACGUCCAGUGAAAACUGGAUAUAUAUCGAUAAAAAUGAUCUGUGUACAAAGGGACGUGUUGAAAAAUGAAGCAAUAGUUUUAAAGAAAUUUGGUGACAAUUUUCUUUAGUCUUUUUUAUAGCUGUGUAUCAAAUGCAGCCAACAAACAGAAGCUUUUUAUACCACAGAAGAACAAACAGGGACAUACAGUGGAGUAGACAGAGAGAUUUUCAUAUUUUAACUUUUCCGUUUGGCUUUCUUGCUUUUGUUGUAUGAUGCUCUGUACAUUAGAUGGUUCGAGGGUUGGACCUGUGGGCUUAAGGACUCUUCCCAUUGGCUCUGUUGGGGUUGAGGUGUUCAUAGGGUUCUACCAUUGGUGCAGUCACGUGUCACUCAUACCUUCAGCAAGAAGGUGUGUAAAACAGGUCAGAGAACUGUGCCACAGAUAAAAGCUUAGUUUUAUCGUAACCCUACUACAAGGGGGAGCUCCAAUAUAAUCUGAGAGAAAAUCUGACACAGAGAAAUAGAGAAAACCCUUCAGUUUUAGUAUCUGAUAUGGUGAUGGUGGUUUAUCCAAUGUAAAACCACACAAUCUCUCUUCAUUUACCACUGAGGGGACAGCCACUGUUAUAACAAACACAAACCGUGUUACAGGAAGUAAAGCUCAUCCGCUGAGCCCUGUUUCUGAAGGGAUAGUAGCUUAUCUGAUCAACUUUAGCUAUCUUGUCUGAGACAAAGACAUCAUGCUAGUUUCUGGUAGCUUAUCUAGUUAUCUUUAGCUAUCUUGUCUGAGACAAAGACAUCAUGCUAGUUUCUGGUAGCUUAUCUAGUUAUCUUUAGCUAUCUUGUCUGAGACAAAGACACCAUGCUAGUUUCUGGUAGCUUAUCUAGUUAUCUGUAGCUAUCUUGUCUGAGACAAAGACACCAUGCUAGUUUCUGGUAGCUUAUCUAGUUAUCUGUAGCUAUCUUGUCUGAGACAAAGACACCAUGCUAGUUUCUGGUAGCUUAUCUAGUCAUCUUUAGCUAUCUUGUCUGAGACAAAGACAUCAUGCUAGUUUCUGGUUGCUUAUCUGAUCAUCUUUAGCUAUCUUGUCUGAGACAAAGACACCAUGCUAGUUUCUGGUAGCUUAUCUAGUCAUCUUUAGCUAUCUUGUCUGAGACAAAGACAUCAUGCUAGUUUCUGGUUGCUUAUCUGAUCAUCUUUAGCUAUCUUGUCUUAGAGAGGAAAAAAGAAAAGUAAAACAUAAUGUUUCUAAAUGUUUGUGCUGCAAUUUUUUGAGAAUUGACUUUAUUGUGUUAGCUGCUACACAAGUGUUCAGUAUUGGGGAGUCAGCCAGUCAGCCAGCCAGUCAGCCAGCCAGUCAGUCAGCCAGCCAGCCAGCCAGUCAGCCAGUCAGCCAGCCAGCCAGCCAGUCAGCCAGUCAGCCAGUCAGUCAGCCAGUCAGUCAGCCAGUCAGCCAGCCAGCAGUCAGUCAGCCAGUCAGCCAGCCAGUCAGUCAGCCAGCCAGUCAGUCAGCCAGCCAGUCAGCCAGCCAGUCAGUCACUCAGCUAGUCAGUCAGCCAGCCAGUCAGUCAGUCAGCCAGUCAGCCAGCCAGUCAGUCAGCCAGUCAGCCAGCCAGUCAGUCAGUCAGCCAGUCAGCCAGCCAGUCAGUCAGUCAGCCAGUCAGUCAGCCAGUCACUCAGCUAGUCAGUCAGCCAGUCAGUCAGCCAGUCACUCAGCUAGUCAGUCAGCCAGUCAGCCAGUCAGUCAGCCAGUCAGCCACCAUUUAAGAAUGGUAUAACCAAGAUCUAGCUUCGUGAUAACUGUACUGUAUACAUUACAGUACAAUUCUGAUAACAGCACCACCAAGGAGGCUGAUUACAGUACCACCAAGGAGUCUGAUUGGCUGAUUAAAGUAACACCAAGGAGGCUGAUUGGCUGAUUACAGUACCACCAAGGAGGCUGAUUGGCUGAUUGCAGUACCACCAAGGAGGCUGAUUGGCUAUCUGUCCUGAGCUCACACCUUGUAAAUCUGCCCACCUGACCUGACUCUACAUAAUGGG
ensembl:lncRNA